AGUGAACGCUGGCGGUAGGCCUAACACAUGCAAGUCGAACGGCAGCACAGUAAGAGCUUGCUCUUACGGGUGGCGAGUGGCGGACGGGUGAGGAAUACAUCGGAAUUUACUUUUUCGUGGGGGAUAACGUAGGGAAACUUACGCUAAUACCGCAUACGACCUACGGGUGAAAGCAGGGGAUCUUCGGACCUUGCGCGAUUGAAUGAGCCGCUGUCGGAUUAGCUAGUUGGGGGGGUAAAGGCCCACCAAGGCGAGGAUCCGUAGCUGGUGUGAGAGGAUGAUCAGCGACACUGGAACUGAGACACGGUCCAGACUCCUACGGGAGGCAGCAGUGGGGAAUAGUGGACAAUGGGGGCAAGCCUGAUCCAGCCAUACCGCGUGGGUGAAGAAGGCCUUCGGGUUGUAAAGCCCUUUUGUUGGGAAAGAAAAGCAGCAGGUUAAUACCCCGCUGUUCUGACGGUACCGAAAGAAUAAGCACCGGCUAACUUCGUG
rnacentral:rRNA from 1 species